CUACGGAGGGUGCGAGCGUUACUCGGAAUCACUGGGCGUAAAGCGCGCGCAGGCGGCUUGAUAAGUUGGAUGUGAAAGCCUACGGCUCAACCGUAGAACUGCAUCCAAAACUGUCAGGCUAGAGUGUGGGAGAGGAAGAUGGAAUUAGUUGUGUAGGGGUAAAAUCCGUAGAGAUAACUAGGAAUACCAAAAGCGAAGGCAAUCUUCUGGAACACUACUGACGCUGAGGCGCGAAGGCGUGGGGAGCAAACAGGAUUAGAAACCCUAGUAGUCC
rnacentral:rRNA from 1 species